UGAUCUUUUUUCUCAAUAAAAAUUUUUUAGACACUUAUGAUGAAAUGUUGGCCCGAGUUCGAAAAUAUAAUCAGGCUGAAAAGAAAGAAAAAAUUUAGCGACAAGCGAAGGAAGAAGAAAAUGGAAAGAAGUGACCUCAUGAGGAAGAUCAUGAGCUCGAAAAAAGGAGAACUCCAACUGACCUCAAAAGAACCCGGCCU
rnacentral:lncRNA from 1 species